rnacentral:rRNA from 1 species
UACGUAGGGGGCGAGCGUUGUCCGGAUUUAUUGGGCGUAAAGAGCGUGUAGGCGGCCAGGUAGGUCUGCUGUGAAAACUCGAGGCUCAACCUCGAGACGUCGGCGGAAACCAUCUGGCUAGAGUCCGGAAGAGGAGAGUGGAACUCCUGGUGUAGCGGUGAAAUGCGCAGAUAUCAGGAAGAACACCCGCGGCGAAGGCGGCACUCU